AAGAGGAUUCGAUCCUACGGGAGGCAGCAGUGGGGAAUUUUGGACAAUGGGCGAAAGCCUGAUCCAGCAAUGCCGCGUGUGUGAAGAAGGCCCUCGGGUUGUAAAGCACUUUUGUCCGGAAAGAAAUGGCUCUGGUUAAUACCUGGGGUCGAUGACGGUACCGGAAGAAUAAGGACCGGCUAACUACGUGCCAGCAGCCCGCGGUAAU
rnacentral:rRNA from 1 species